rnacentral:rRNA from 1 species
UUUAAAGCUUCAAACUGGGAUUAGAUACCCCACUAUUUUUGAUUGUAAAUUUAAUUAUAUUUACCAGAGUACUACGAAUCUUUAUAAAAUUUAAAACUCAAAGGGCUUGGCGGUGUUUUAGACCUAUCAGGGGAACCUGUCUCGUAAUCGACAGUCCACGUUAAACCUAACCUUAUUUUGUAUCCAGCUUGUAUACCGUCGUCGUCAGGUAACUUUUAAAAAUCUAGAAGUUAGCAAUAAAAAUUAAAUUGAAUUUAAACGUCAGAUCAAGGUGCAGCCAAUGAAAAGGAGAGGAUGGGUUACAAUUAUUUAAUUAUAACUAUGAAAAAUUAUGUGAAAGCAUGGUUGGAAGGAGGACUUGAAAGUAAAAUAAAUUAUAUAAAUAACUUGAAUAUGGCUCUGAAACGUGCACACACCGCCCGUCACCCUCUGCAGUCAA